rnacentral:rRNA from 1 species
GACGAACGCUGGCGGCGUGCUUAACACAUGCAAGUCGAACGGAAAGGCCCUGCUUUUGUGGGGUGCUCGAGUGGCGAACGGGUGAGUAACACGUGAGUAACCUGCCCUUGACUUUGGGAUAACUUCAGGAAACUGGGGCUAAUACCGGAUAGGAGCUCCUGCUGCAUGGUGGGGGUUGGAAAGUUUCUGCGGUUAGGGAUGGACUCGCGGCUUAUCAGCUUGUUGGUGGGGUAGUGGCUUACCAAGGCUUUGACGGGUAGCCGGCCUGAGAGGGUGACCGGCCACAUUGGGACUGAGAUACGGCCCAGACUCCUACGGGAGGCAGCAGUGGGGAAUAUUGCACAGUGGGCGGAAGCCUGAUGCAGCAACGCCGCGUGCGGGAUGACGGCCUUCGGGUUGUAAACCGCUUUCGCCUGUGACGAAGCGUGAGUGACGGUAAUGGGUAAAGAAGCACCGGCUAACUACGUG